rnacentral:rRNA from 1 species
CCUACGGGAGGCAGCAGUGGGGAAUCUUGCGCAAUGGGCGAAAGCCUGACGCAGCCAUGCCGCGUGGAUGAUGAAGGUCUUAGGAUUGUAAAAUCCUUUCACCGGUGAAGAUAAUGACUGUAGCCGGAGAAGAAGCCCCGGCUAACUUCGUGCCAGCAGCCGCGGUAAUACGAAGGGGGCUAGCGUUGCUCGGAAUUACUGGGCGUAAAGGGAGCGUAGGCGGACAUUUAAGUCAGAGGUGAAAUCCCGGAGCUUAACUUCGGAACUGCCUUUGAUACUGGGUGUCUUGAGUGUGAGAGAGGUAUGUGGAACUCCGAGUGUAGAGGUGAAAUUCGUAGAUAUUCGGAAGAACACCAGUGGCGAAGGCGACAUACUGGCUCAUUACUGACGCUGAGGCUCGAAAGCGUGGGGAGCAAACAGGAUUAGAUACCCUGGUAGUCCACGCCGUAAACGAUGAUUGCUAGUUGUCGGGAAGCUUGCUUCUCGGUGACGCAGCUAACGCAUUAAGCAAUCCGCCUGGGGAGUACGGUCGCAAGAUUAAAACUCAAAUGAAUUGACGG